GGGUCAGAUUGAGGGACAAAUGGCACCGUAAGCACUACUGACUAGGCGUUUUAUGCGGUCUCUUAAUCCGCAGGUUCCGGGUUCGAGUCCCGGGCGACCCA
rnacentral:tRNA from 1 species